rnacentral:tRNA from 1 species
GUUUUAAUAGUUUAAAUCUAAAACAUUGGUCUUGUAAACCAAAAUCAAGGUCCCCUUUUAAAGCU